GUAGGUCCUAUUUUAUCAUAUAUCAACACGUUAAACUCCAAAUUAGAUGGUCCUGCAAUCUCUAUCAGCAAAAAUUAACUGUCCUUAAUCUUUUACGUUAACGAAAGGACUUAGAUGGUCAUUUUGUAAGAAAAGGUUCCUAUUAGAAAUAAAAGGAAAAAGAAAAAUUACCCAUGAAUCAUAGUUGAAGGGUCUGUCUGGACCUUUUUCCUUUUCUUUUUAGCAACUGAAAUAGAGAGUGAGAUGAGAAAUGAAGGAAAUAGAAGGUAGAGAAAAAGAGACGAGGAAAAAAAAAAAGUAAUUAAAGAAAAAGAAUUGAAGAAAACAAUUAGUUUGCUAAUGGAAUAAACUAUAUGUCAAGAAAAAUGUCCAGUAUUUACGAGCAUCCUUUUUCUAUUUUGAUAAUAUCUAAUUUAAAUUCGUUGCGAGUCAAACAAGAUAAAAGAGCUAAUGAUCAGAAGACAAAAGCACCAGCUGCUGAUAAUCAAUUACAAGGUAUGGUUGAGGAUUUUCAUUACUACAUAGUCUGACAGCUUUCAAAAUUCGAACCAAAUCAGUAUCGAAGAAUACCAGUAAGAAAAUGGCAGGAGCAAACCUCGAAUUGGUUUGCAGAGAUGAAGGACGAGAUGACAGACUGCAGAAAGAAAUUGCAAAAGCAGAAGCUGCAAAUGAAAUUGAAGGUACAUAGUAAGAGAUAGCUGUGAUCUGGAGGAGGGGCGGAAACUGUACGGCGUCAAGAAACUAGGCAAUAACACAUACAUUUGGGUUACUGUUGGUGAGCUAACUUAAAGCUGAGGCAGGAAAUUACAUUUGCAGGUUGCUUUGUUCUUUUUGGUGUUUUUCAGGUUACAAUUAUCAUCAAUCCUGUAUGACCCUAUAGGCAGAUUUCUCAAUAAACCUAGUUGAAUUUUUUGAUCUAAGACGUAACAUAUAUCCUUCGAGUAGAAGAAUUUAAAUAACUGCACGAACAGUCCACAAGAGGGAAAAAAUUUGUUAUUUGACGGUUUGAGAGGAAUUCGUUGGAUGUGAAUGAGAUUAAAUGACCACUUGAUUAAUGUUCUACGGGUUGAUGAAAUUGAAUCACCAUAUCCAAAUUCAAAGAGGGGAAAGAAAAAAUUUGCAUAAAAAUAAAUCUAUCUACAGCCCCCAUUACAUCCAAUUUGAUCGAAUGUCUUAAUCAUCAAUUUGCAAGUGAAAAGAAUCCAUUGGUGAACCACAUCACAGAAUUGGAAAUCAUUGCCAUGAAGGCAUUACACAAGACUCUAUUACGGAAUGUAAAGCAAGUGAUGCAGCACACUUAGAAUAGCUGAUAUUGAAGCCGAUUUACGCACAAUCAGUUCGACUCCAGGCUCCGGAGUCAUCAGAUCUCUAUGCCUUGUAGAUAAUAGCUUGGUAAAGCUUGAAGGAGCUCUUUGUUCUGGCGGAUGGUGCUUAUUGGAGGUGCUUUGUAAGGAAUAGUUGGUGAAUAGACUGGCAACUGCAGAAUAACGAAUGCUGAAGUGCUUCUUCAGCAGUACGCCUCUUGCAUGGAUCCCAAGAACGAUAAGGCUAACUGCAUCCUUGCUUUUGGAAUGAGUAGAAUACCACUAGAUUUUUGGAAAUUGGUAGUGGAUAUCCCUUGCAAGAUCAAGUCGAUCAGACGAAACCCCCUUUCUUGGACUGCCAAUUAACUUGCUCUUUAAUUUAGAUAAAAUAAACAUUAAUUUUUCAUGUCAACAUUCACUUGUUUAUUUCAAUCUCUACUUUUAUAUGUAUGUAGCCUUGCUAGUUAGUGUUAUGUUGCAUGUAUACUUGGUUAAAUUUAAACUGGUCGAGGCUCUUUGCCGUUAUGUCUAAUUCUCUUGCAUCUCUCUUUAAUCAAUAUUUAUGAAAAUUAAAAGAAAGCUUUGGACAAUCCUAUUGUUUGCUAUUACCUAAACCUUAUGGGAUAUGGCUGCACUGGAAUGACAUUAUUUCUAUCUGCUGCCCAUUAUAAUAAACUGAUUUUCUUGAGGUUUUCGUGUUGGUUAAAAGCAACAUUUCCUUUCUUUCUUUAUGGUGUUGCUCAGCUCCCUUGGUAUCAAUAUUGUGGUUUUUGCUCAGAGUCCCUUUUCUUCUCUGUGGUCUCUGUUUUUCUGCUGUCUGCUUGCUACCGAAUAGUUCAUCUGCUGCUUCUUCUGUUCACUGCUGCCCUGCUUGCACAGUUUCUGCAUUGCUUCUGCUAUGGAAUUAAUCUGCUCAUGUUGGUUCUUUAGUUUUGCACUUUCAGUUUUGUUUUCUUCUCAUUAUUGUUCUUGUAGUUAUUUUGGUUUUCUUGAGGCUAGAGUUGUGUUAUAGCUCUCUCUUGUCUUGCUUAGAAUAGGGAGGAUGUUUCAUCAACUUGUUCUCUUUUCAUGUCAACAUUCACUUGUUCUCUUUUUUAUUUGUUUAUUUAAAAGAGAGAGGGGUGGGAGGUUGAUUUGAGAGUACAAAUAGUUAUACCUUCUUUUGAACAUAUGGCAUGAGCAGUCCUAUUUAAGCUGGCAUUGGGUAUCAUUUACUUUUUAGUAUGAAAAGUAUUGGGCUCCUUUUUUAUUUCACGUUUUGGUUUAUCAUCCGUCACUGCAAAAAAUGUCUGUUGCAUAUGCAUGCUUAACGACAGAAAUAGGUUUUGCAUCCUAGGUUCGAUUUGCUUCAGAAUUGGAUGCUUGUGUCUAUAAAUGCUUCCCUCUUUGGCUUGGUCACUACUUAUUUUCUUUAUUUUGAUAUACUAAAUGGGCCAAACCAGAAUAUUGCGAACUAUAAUUUGUAUGCAGCAUCUUUUACCUUCUCGCAUGUUGGCAUGCUGCCAAGAAAAGUCUUCUGUGGAAAAUGGUUGUGGAUGGAUAGAUUUACAAAUUGUUUCCUUCUCACAAUAAUGGCAGCUGGUUGAUCGAAAUUGCUAUUACUUUUCUUUUUGUGCUUUUAUUUGUCAAAAUCUGAUAAAUUAUUUUUGAAUUUUAAUAGGCUUGGCUGCAUAUUGCAGUGCUGAUGGUACUGUUUGCCGCUUCCAGGAAAAUUACAGUUCUGAGGUCCCUCUACAAAAACUUUCUAUCUUUUAGCAUCGUUUUUACGUUGUGGCUAGACAGGAUUUGGCCCCAAGAGUCUGGAAAAGUGGUGCAUAAGAUGUCCAAGUAUCGUGUUCUAUCUGUAAUCAGCUCACAACAAAAGCUGUAGAGAAAAGCCCAUCCAGGCAUCGAACUCCACAUUUUACGGUUGGGUCCCUGAGUAAAGAUGAGGCAGCCAUUACCAUUAACAUUCCAUUACCAGAUACCCCUUUAACUUUGAAAAAGCCAGUUAACAUUGUUGGGGACAAUCCAAGAUCUAUGAGGAGUUUAUUAGAGUCGAAUCAGACAAAAAGAGCUAAUAGUAGCAAGGCAAAUGCACCAGCUGCAGAUAAUCAACUAUUAGCCCUUUGUGAUGUCAAUGAUCCAGGUGUGCAAUCUGAAUCAGAUGAAAGUCUUGCAGCUUUCAGAAGUCGAACUAAAUCAAAAUCGAAAAGUAUCAGCAAGAAAAUGACAGGAGAGGACCUAGCAUUGGUUUGCAUAGACGAAGGACAAAAUAACAGAUGGCAGAAAGAGAUUGUAAAAGCAGAAGUUGCAAAUGAAAUUGAGGUUAUCCCUCCAAAAAUAAUUGCAAUGCAUAGAGUUAGAUGGAAUAUAAACAAAGGUAGUGAGAGAUGGCUGUGCUCUGGAGGAGCAGCAGGAAUUGUGCGGUGUCAAGAAAUUAUAUUGUCUGAUACAGAUAAACUUUUGGCUAGGAAACGAUAAUAGGCAACAAGAUGUACAUUUGAUUAUGUUGUUGUUACUGUAAUUUACAUAGAUCGUAGUUAGUGUUCAUGAGCUUUCUUACA